rnacentral:tRNA from 1 species
UCUUCUAUAGUACAGCGGUUAGUAUAUCCGCCUUUCAUGUAGAUCGCGGGAGAUCGGGGUUCGAUUCCCCGUGGGAGAA